rnacentral:rRNA from 1 species
ACAGGCUGUGAACUCGAAGAGUAGGGCGGGACACGUGGUAUCCUGUCUGAAUAUGGGGGGACCAUCCUCCAAGGCUAAAUACUCCUGACUGACCGAUAGUGAACCAGUACCGUGAGGGAAAGGCGAAAAGAACCCCGGCGAGGGGAGUGAAAAAGAACCUGAAACCGUGUACGUACAAGCAGUGGGAGCACCUUCGGGUGUGACUGCGUACCUUUUGUAUAAUGGGUCAGCGACUUAUAUUCUGUAGCAAGGUUAACCGUAUAGGGGAGCCGCAGGGAAACCGAGUCUUAACUGGGCGUUAAGUUGCAGGGUAUAGACCCGAAACCCGGUGAUCUAGCCAUGGGCAGGUUGAAGGUUGGGUAACACUAACUGGAGGACCGAACCGACUAAUGUUGAAAAAUUAGCGGAUGACUUGUGGCUGGGGGUGAAAGGCCAAUCAAACCGGGAGAUAGCUGGUUCUCCCCGAAAGCU